CACCAGCCAGGCAAGUAACUUACUGGAACUAGAAGAGAAGAGAAGAAUGCACUCAUUAAAGCCAUUGGCCAAAAGCCGGUCCCGCAGCUGCUGAAGAAUUGCUACUCCGAUACAGAACGGGAAAGAGGAAUUUCCAAGUAGCAAGUGCUUAACAAAUGCCAGUGGAGCAAAAAUUUUAAAGUAUUGAAGACUCGAAAACCUAUCAACUUCGAAUUGUAUGCCCAGCAAAAUAUCUUUCAGAGACAAAGGUAAAAUAAAGGCUCCUACACAUAAAUGGAAAGAAUUCAUCACCAGCAGUUCUGCACUACUAGAAAUGCUGAAGAAAGUACUUCAGGCAGAAAGAAAUGAUAUGAGAUAAAAAUCUGGAUCUACAUAGAAGAAUGAAGAGAUUCAAGAAUU